rnacentral:lncRNA from 1 species
AUGGAAAAAGCAAGAGAGUUCCAGAAAAACAUCUAUUUCUGCUUUAUUGACUAUGCCAAACCCUUUGACUGUGUGGAUCACAGUAAAGUGUGGAAAAUUCUGAAAGAGAUGGGAAUACCAGACCACCUAACCUGCCUCUUGAGAAAUCUGUAUUCAGGUCAGGAAGCAACAGUUAGAACUGGACAUGGAACAAAAGACUGGUUCCAAAUAGGAAAAGAAGUACGUCAAGGCUGUAUAUUGUCACCCUGCUUAUUUAACUUCUAUGCAGAGUACAUCAUGAGAAAUGCUGGACUGGAAGAAACACAAGCUGGAAUCAAGAUUGCUUGGAGAAGUAUCAAUCACCUCAGAUAUGCAGAUGACACCACCCUGAUGGCAGAAAGUGAAGAGGAGCUAAAAAGCCUCUUGAUGAAAGUGAAAGAGGAGAGUGAGAAAGUUGGCUUAAAGCUCAACAUUCAGAAAACGAAGAUCAUGGCAUCCAGUCCCAUCACUUCAUGGGAAAUAGAUGGGGAAACAGUGGAAACAGUGGAAACAGUGUCAGACUUUAUUUUUUUGUGCUCCAGAAUCACUGCAGAUGGUGAGUGCAGCCAUGAAAUUAAUAGACGCUUACUCCUUAGAAGAAAAGUUAUGACCAACCUAGAUAGUAUAUUGAAAAGCAGAGACAUUACUUUGCCGACUAAGGUCUGGCUAGUCAAGGCUAUGGUUUUUCCUGUGGUUAUGUAUGGAUGUGAGAGUUGGACUGUGAACAAGGCUGAGUGCCGAAGAAUUGAUGCUUUUGAACUGUGGUGUUGGAAAAGACUCUUGAGAGUCCCUUGGACUGCAAGGAGAUCCAAUCAGUCCAUUCUGAAGGAGAUCAACCCUGGGAUUUCUUUGGAAGGAAUGAUGCUAAAGCUGAAACUCCAGUACUUUGGCCACCUCAUGAGAAGAGUUGACUCACUGGAAAAGACCCUGAUGCUGGGACGGAUUAGGGGCAGGAGGAGAAGGAGACAGCUGAGGAUGAGAUGGCUGGAUGGCAUCACGGACUCAAUGGACAGGAGUCUGAGUGAACUCCGGAAGAUGGUGAUGAACAGGGAGGCCUGGCGUGCUGCAAUUCAUGGGGUCGCAAAGAGUCAGACAUGA